rnacentral:sRNA from 1 species
ACUGAGAGCUGUAGUCCUGAACUGUGCCCUGUUCAAUCUUCUGCUGGAGUAUUUCAGAAGUAGGGGAGGAAGAUAUAAAGAUCUGGUGAGGACCUGCCACGUCAGUUAUCCAACCUACAGCAGCACUAUUCAGCAGGACAAUCCAGUAUGAUCUUUCAGCUUAGGCCAUUAUCUCAUACCCAAUAGAGAAGGGUAAGAAAUCACUCGGGUCUGUUUAUUAUUUCAACUUUUAAAAACUGCUGGAAACUGAAGUGUGAAAAAUCACAUUUCUCCAAAUGUUCAUACAUAUUACAAUUUAAAAAUCAAGUUGCACUGUCUAAUUAUCAGCUCAGGAGAUAAAAACAAAUGAAGGCCUUCUUGAAAGAAUGGCCACCACUGAAGUGAAGGCUGUUGUUAUGUCACGAGUGCAGGAGUCUGCAUAGGUUACACUUGACAACCUCUAUAUUUGAGAAGAACCGCAGAAACCAUAUCUCAAGAAAUAUAUGAACAUUCAAGUGAUAUUAUAAUCACCAAACAUAUGCUGCAUGGAAAUCUUCCCAGUGGGAGGCAUUGAACUUGAAAGGUGAUGCUCGUGCAGAAAAGGAAAAUAUCCCUCCUUUGCUUAUGGCCACUGUAAACCUGUUUCUGGGGAGACUUACAAGCAAUGGGCUCAGACAAUACUAGAGAGCUCAAACUGGAGGGAUCAGUGCACAAUAGCCAUAAUCUCUAGGGAUCACAUAUAUUUCAAGGACAGAAAUUCUUUUAAACUGGAACAGAACAAUAUUCUGAGCUGCUGGUAGCAAACAGAUGCUGAUAACUAUGUAGCAAAUCAGACACCCAAAGAGACAGUUUACAGUACAGGUAAUCUACUUGAGUCAUCCCAUCCUUUGCUCUAACCUCAUGUCAGUGACACUGAAAUAAUGCUGCAUCUUCUCAGUGAAGGCAUUUUGUUCAGUGACCAGUUCUUUCUGCUUCAGAGAAAAUUUUGUCUCCAGUCACACAAACCCUCACCUCAGAAAAGCCUUUCUCACAUCCCUCCUCAUCCAGUCAGCUCCAGGAUAUAAGCUAUAGGAAAGAACUCUAGAACACUUACAUAAAACAGGACUGACAGGCUGCUUCUCAAGCUCUAUCACUAUGAACCAGGAUCUUCGUACACAGAAAGGACCAUCUUGCAAUGUAGGGGGAAAAGACAUGAGAGGACAGAAGCCCUAUCAAAUGGAAAAUGAUAACCAUUCUUUAGGCAAUUUCACUAGGCUUUAAUCAAUUCUGUGCACUACAAAUUAUGCUAGCACAUAGCAUGCCUCUAGCAUAAUGGCAUGUAAGUGCGCAAUGUGUGAUCAUUGUAUCUCUCCUAAGUAAAUGUAGUAUACAGUUGAUGAGGAGGAUUUGGCUGUCAAUCCUCCAGUUUCUUCCAUGAGGCUAACACCAGAGAAAGUUUUGGAAAUGAUCAAAGAUAUGAACAACUUGAUGUGACAUAAGAGUGUCUGGAUAAGUUGGAGAAUGGUUGAAUUGGUUUGACUUGGUUUUUUGUUAGAUUACAGGAAAACCUACCCCAGAUGCUUCAUUCAUCAUACCUGAUCCUCCCUGGAACAUACAUCAUAGAUUUUCAUAUUGACUUCCACACAGAACCAGGUUGUUUCCUUAAUGGAUGCUUCCAGUGCAAACUGAUCCCACAGAAGCUCUCUGUUCUCAUCCCAUGCUCUCUUUAUACUGUGCUUCAUCGGAAUAGCCUCACUUAGGAGCAGGCAGUGCCUGAGGCUGAGCCAAAAACAAAAAAUUGUGAAUCCCAGCAAGGAUACAUUUUUCUCCCACUCUCAAAGUACAUUACUCAGUCUAAGGCCCUGACCCAAACACAGUCCCAGACUGUAGUCCAAGUCCAUGUUAGCCAUGGAGCAAAUUCCUGAAGACACAGGGUACUUCUCAAAAGCCUAAUACCAAGGAUUCAAAUUUGUCCCAAAAGAGGACAUAAUAUAUAUAUAUAUAUAGUUAGUCAGGUCCCCAGAGCAUCAAAAUUGAUUGAUAACUCCAUCAUGGGGCACACAUUUUCUAUCUAUAGGAUCCCAAGUUGGGAAGGACAAUGAUUGGAGAAAUUCAGAGCCCCUCUACAUUUGGUCAAACUAACUAAAACAGGUAAAAUUCCUAGAACAUGCCUUAGAGCCAGGCUUCCUGGUACACGUCAAACAGUAUAGAACCUGAUCUCCACUUUAGUUCAAAGACACUAAUGGGCUGUCACAUUCGGUGACUAGUACUGGUGUCAAAAUCCUGUAAGUUAUUCACCAGUAACACUGAUUUUCUCAUAUGAGUUGAUUAGAUUUGUACCACCUUUUAUUGAUCUGUCAGCACAUUUUCUGUAGGUCAAUCAUCACUUGCUGGUGUUGCAUCAUGAAUAUUUUGGACCCAAAAUUCAUUCUGUUGUAGGGCAUUGUCCAAGGAUCAAAUAACUUUCUGAACUAAGGAUUCAAGGAUUAUAUGAAUUAUGACUGGAUCCUGAACAACCCCAGGCUAGGACAUGACACAUCCUUGCUCCUUGGUACUGGAUCCAUUUGGUACUGAUUAAGCUUAUUAUUAUGGACACAGGGACAGCAGAGCCAGCAAACAAAAGGAGGGAUCUGAUCGACUUGAGCUCCCUGUGUGAUCUUGAAGGAAUAGACUAGCUUGCCGAGAAGAUUUCAGGAACCUCUGCCACAGUCCAGGCUCCAACUUAAACCUGUGAAGAUUAUUCUCCUUUUCUUAGCCAGAACAAGUUGGACAUAUAUAUUAUAUCGCUUCCACAAUGCUUAAGGCCAUCAUGAAAUGUGGGGCAGAGAGAAGGUAGGUGCCUGAAGUCACAGAGGAUUCAAGGAAAUCAGUGACUUCUGGAUAUGAGGAGUGCUGCCCUCAUGACAUAUAGCAGCUGUGGUUACAUGAACAGUUUCAAGACAGUCAACAGUCAAGAAUGCAGUGGAAAGUCACAAGAGCUCCUAAUCAUAACUAAAAUAUUAUGAAGAGUUAGUGUCUUCUGGUGGAUGGUUGAGCAAUUUUCUGUUAGGGUUUAUUAUGAGAUAAUUAAACAAUAAUUUAA